AACGAACGCUGGCGGCGUGCCUAACACAUGCAAGUCGAACGGAAGUAGAGAGCUUGCUUUCUGCUUUAGUGGCGCACGGGUGAGUAACGCGUAGAUAAUCUGCCUGAUGAUCUGGAAUAACAUCUCGAAAGGGGUGCUAAUACCGGAUAAGCCCACGAUGACCUUGGUCAUUGCGGGAAAAGGAGGGGACCAUUUGGCCUUCUGUCAUCAGAUGAGUCUGCGUACCAUUAGCUAGUUGGUAGGGUAAUGGCCUACCAAGGCUACGAUGGUUAGCUGGUCUGAGAGGAUGAUCAGCCACACUGGAACUGAGACACGGUCCAGACUCCUACGGGUGCUG
rnacentral:rRNA from 1 species